UAGGCCAAUGUUUCUUGAUUGAUCCUGGAACGAGGACGAAAUUCGCGCUAGGGAAUGAUUCGAAGUUUUAAGCGAAACAAUCAAACUCGCAAAUUUGAAACUUCGUCAACACGAAACCUCGCUUUAGAAAGGUGAUUUGAAGCUUUGAAUGGUAGAUGGUGCAAGUGUUGAUGUCUUCGUUAUUCGGGCAAAUUGUCCUUAAUUCAUCAGGUCCUUCAAAUUGUCGGGCAAAUCAUACAAUCCGCACACCUUAUUAGCUGGCAAAGCCGCAUCUGAAAUAUCAUCAAAAACAAAUGAAUUACUUUCUUCGCGUCGUUGUUUUUUUUGGUCCGAGUUAAUUAUGAUCGUGCAUUCUGAAGGCCAAAAGAACACUUUUGAAAGAUCUUGCUAGUACGUUUACUCGACUUCUGGUUUGGUACUUAUCGUCAGAUGACUGACUGACUGAAUGACUGAAUGACAGACUGAUUGCCUACCUCACCACAACCCGACUUUCACGCCAAGAGAUUUUUUUUUCGUUUCGAAGAUCCAGCCAGCACGA